AAAAUAUUCAGUACGGUUGAGGCCGCAUUCGUCAUUGAUCCAAGAUCUAGGAAAAAUAUUAUCCAAACUGCUGGCAUUUCGUUUCGUCAGUUUAAGUGUUGGCUAACAACAAAAUAUAUUAUGCCACAUAAGGAUGAACCACAACUCCUACAAGUUCCACCAGAAAAGUAUUCAUUCAUUGAUCAACAUCAUUGGGCAGAAUUUGUAAGGUCUAGAUUGUGUGAAACUUUUCAGGAAAAAAGACUUCUGCAACAAGAUAGACGAUCUAAGAACAAGUAUAACCAUAGGAUUUCGAGGAAGGGUUAUGCCAAUCUUAUCGAGGA